rnacentral:rRNA from 1 species
GGAAUAUUGCACAAUGGGCGCAAGCCUGAUGCAGCGACGCCGCGUGCGGGAUGACGGCCUUAGGGUUGUAAACCGCUUUCAGCAGGGACGAAAUUGACGGUACCUGCAGAAGAAGCCCCGGCCAACUACGUGCCAGCAGCCGCGGUAAUACGUAGGGGGCAAGCGUUGUCCGGAUUUAUUGGGCGUAAAGAGCUCGUAGGCGGUCUGGUAAGUCGGAUGUGAAAUCUCCACGCUUAACGUGGAGGGGUCAUUCGAAACUGCCAUGGCUAGAGUUUGGUAGAGGAGUGCGGAACUCCCGGUGUAGCGGUGAAAUGCGCAGAUAUCGGGAAGAACACCCGUAUCGAAGGCGGCACUCUGGGCCAAUACUGACGCUGAGGAGCGAAAGCGUGGGGAGCAAACAGGAUUAGAUACCCUGGUAGUCCACGCCGUAAACGUUGGGCACUAGGUGUGGGACUCUAUCGACGGGUUCCGUGCCGUAGCUAACGCAUUAAGUGCCCCGCCUGGGGAGUACGGCCGCAAGGCUAAAACUCAAAGGAAUUGACGG